AAUGGGAUUUCCAUUUGUAGGGUGAAAAUGGGCAGAAUUAUGGAGGAACACCCGUGGCGAAGGCGACUUUCUGGUCUGUAACUGACGCUGAUGUGCAAAAGCGUGGGCAUCAAACAGGAUUAGAUACCCGGUUAGUCCACGCCGUAAACGAAGAGUGCUAAGUGUGAGGGGGUUUCCGCCCCUUAGUGGUGCAGCUAACGCAUUAAACACUCCGCCUGGGGAGUACGACCGCAAGGUUGAAACUCAAAGGAAUUGGCGGGGACCCGCACAAGCGGUGGAGCAUGUGGUUUAAUUCGAAGCAACGCGAAGAACCUUACCAAAUCUUGACAUCCUCUGACCCCUCUAGAGAUAGAGUUUUCCCCUUCGGGGGACAGAGUGACAGGUGGUGCAUGGUUGUCGUCAGCUCGUGUCGUGAGAUGUUGGGUUAAGUCCCGCAACGAGCGCAACCCUUAAGCUUAGUUGCCAUCAUUAAGUUGGGCACUCUAAGUUGACUGCCGGUGACAAACCGGAGGAAGGUGGGGAUGACGUCAAAUCAUCAUGCCCCUUAUGAUUUGGGCUACACACGUGCUACAAUGGACAAUACAAAGGGCAGCGAAACCGCGAGGUCAAGCAAAUCCCAUAAAGUUGUUCUCAGUUCGGAUUGUAGUCUGCAACUCGACUAUAUGAAGCUGGAAUCGCUAGUAAUCGUAGAUCAGCAUGCUACGGUGAAUACGUUCCCGGGUCUUGUACACACCGCCCGUCACACCACGAGAGUUUGUAACACCCGAA
rnacentral:rRNA from 1 species